UACGGGGGGAGCAAGCGUUGUUCGGAUUUACUGGGCGUAAAGGGCGCGUAGGCGGCCAGCACAGGUCAGUUGUGAAAUCUCCGAGCUUAACUCGGAAAGGUCAACUGAUACUGCGCGGCUAGAGUGCGGAAGGGGCAACUGGAAUUCUCGGUGUAGCGGUGAAAUGCGUAGAUAUCGAGAGGAACACCUGCGGCGAAGGCGGGUUGCUGGGCCGACACUGACGCUGAGGCGCGAAAGCUAGGGGAGCGAACGGG
rnacentral:rRNA from 1 species